rnacentral:lncRNA from 1 species
AUUAAAGAAAAUUUUCAGCCGAUAAACUAGAGAAAGACUCAUAAAAGACAAACAUGCUUCCGGUCAAUACAAGUAAAGUGACACGGUAUAAAUAUGUCUAUUAUCUGGUGCACAUUCCCCCUCAAAGACUCGUCCUCUUCUGAGGACGACAAUGGCCGCUCGAUAUUUUGUUGCUGCAAAUGGUGGCAGGCUUGAUGCACAGGCCGUGGUGGAGAUUACUCUGAUUGCGGUGACACUGCUGGGCGGCGGAAUUCGUUAGUUAAACGAUGAAAGUUGAUCUCAGGGCUGGUUAAUGGAGUAUGAAUUUGUAGUAUAAUUAUAUUAGUUAAUUUAGGUUCGUACUAUUUUAGGACACCAAACCAAUAUAUUAUGUAGUCCAGUACGUUGUCAUAUAUAUAUAUGUUUAGAUCUCUCCAAAUGAAGUGAGUUAUGUGUUGGUUUUACCGUAAUAUGGUGUAUGUCUUCUUAUUUAUUCAUUUGUCCAUUUAUAUUUUUGGGAGUGGAUUUGGAGGGUUGUUGUUCGCUUUUGGUUGAGUUUUAAGGCAAUCCAACGAAGUGCUUGAG